AACUCUUCUGUAAAUCUAAAAUGAUUGCAAAACAAACAAGCGCUACAUAUCUUGGAUAAUUGUUCUGGUUAUAUUUUAAUUCUUGCUCAAUCAAAAAAUCUGUCAAGUCUUUUGUGUUUUUGAGUGUUGUGCUUUAAAGCAUUGGGGGUGAGGGUUUGCCAGAUCUGGUGCUUCUGAGGUUUCUGGGUAAGAACAAAGGUCUGGCUAGAACCUCGGAAUCUUCCCCUCCAGCUGGAGCCCGGAACUCAGCAUCCCAGGGAGGGGCCUCGCUGGAGCCAUGCCCUCUCCUGCAGGGUUGCUGGCUUCUGGCGAUGAAAAGAUGCUCAACAAAGCUCGAGGGAACUUUUCCCUCCAGGUUCACAGGGGACAUUUCUCAGGUGUAAGAGCUGUCCACGAAGCUCGCUGGUUGCUCCAGAAUGGGUGGGUAGGAGAGAAAAGGCCCUUCCCACAAGGGUGGAGGAAUCCCAGAGCCGCUGAGCUGGGAGAUCUCAGUGCUCACGGGUCUGAUGCGCACAUUGCAGAGUCUGGGAGAACAAAGGCCAGAGAGACGGGGAGGCCGGGCCACGCCUGCCCCGAGCGAGGGUAGGGCAGUGCUGGCCUUUGAGUCCAGGUCUCUUGAUCUGCAAUUCUAGGGCCCUUCUCAUUAUUUCAUCUUUGUCCCUGAACUUGACAAGUAGGUGUCUGUGUAAGGGGAACUUGUCUCUGGGCUUCAGAGAGCCCAGAGCUUAAUUCCUGGCUCCUUGUGACUCCCUCUGCCUCUGUGGAGGAAAAUGUCUCCUUUUCCAUUACUUACAAGAGGUGGGCUCUGUGAGAGGCCUCCAAUCUGCCAGCUGCCGACACUUCGCAGAAUGAAAUCAUCCUGCUGAAUUGAUAAAUUCCGGAACUACUUCCAUCUGAGGCCUGGCCGGUCCCCACCUGGUGCACUUGACUGAGGAGGGUUCUGCUCCAGUUCACCUCUCUCAGCUGACGUGGGUGUUCAGCUGAGACGAAUGGGCUAUAUUGCCAUGAAAUUUCCCCAGAAUUUGUGCCAUGCCGCCCCCCAGCCUGCCAGACCACACAGGGGCCUCAGGAUCUGCCUGAACAUCUCAUCGAGGCUCGGUCUGCCUAGAAGACACUUUGGGAAAAAGCGAUUGCUUCUAAAAUCGUUCGCAGUAAAGUGCCUCUGAUUUAUUUUGCUUGAGGAAAGAAAGAAAUGAUCCUGGCCUAUGGCUUUGAGCAGGAAGGUGAUGGGGAGACGGGAGCAGUGGUUCUCAGCAGGCUAUGCAGUAGAAUCACCUGGUGACCCCAUUCCGAUUUAAUCGAUUUGAGGGCCCAGGCAUGGGUAUUUUUCACAGUGCCUUAAAUAGCUUUCCUAAACAGCUCGGGCUGAGAACAGGAUCGGAGGGAAAGGGGGAAAGAGCCUUGAAGUCAGCGGAUGGGAUUCCUUAUGUUUGCUAAGUCAAGAAACUUUCUAGAGAGGGGAAGGACUUGCCCGAGGUUCUGUAUAUUGUUGGCAAAUAAAAUUCAAGUUUCAGCUGAGCAAAAAUCUGUGCGUCACCUAGUCUGUGCUGGGUGAGCAGGAAACCAGGAUGUGAGGGGUGGUUUCUCCCAGCCACUCACCCAGCUGUCACAGGAAGCAGAAGAGGGGAAGGGCCAAUCCCAACAGAGAAGUUUGGGGAGGCGGCGCCCAGCUCCCACCAUGGUCCCCUCCACCAUCUCCUCCCGCAUAACGCUGCAAACCUGAAGGUUGAGUGGCGGUCUCCUUUGAACAGCCUCUCCUUUGAGAGCGAGGAUGUGAGAAGCCGGUCCAGGUGUCGGUCAGUGGAGUGACAUCCUUGAGCUGCAAUUUCGGGAAGUCAUCUGGUCAUCUGUGCAAGGUGUUGAUGACGGACUCGGAGACUCUAUGAUCCUUUCACAAACGGUUUGAGGUG
ensembl:lncRNA